UUAUUUAUUUAUUUAUUUAUUAUGCGCAAUUAUGUCUUUCCGUUGGCUUGGUAGUUUCUGAGUUGUAGAAAGCAGACCCUUCCCUUAAUUGUUUAUGGAAAUGUAAAUUUGGAUGUUCUUUUCUGGCGGGGCGGCAACAUAUUUUCCUGGAAUGAGGAUAGUACUUGACUUUUACUAUCUUACCUUUUUAAGCAUUUGUAGCUGAUAUUACAGAAGUAAGAAACAUGGAGAGGUAAAAGCGUUUGCUUUUUUCUUUUUCUUUUUUUCCCUUCGCGCAACUCUCUGUAACAUAGAAUUUGAUAUUUGUUGUUGAUUUGUGAUCACCUGCAACUUAAAUACAUCUUGUUCAUCUGAGCUUCUUCUUUUGAAACCAUCUGCUCGUGAAGUUAAUGAGGGAUUGUCUGAAGGGUUCAAAUCCUGUUGCUAUCCAUUUUCAGAUGAUGAGAUCGUAUACCUGGAUACAAACCACGGAUGGUGCAGUUCAGCAAGUGGAACAAGAAGUUGCCAUGUUUUGCCCCUUGAUAUGUCAGGAAGUAAUACAAAAGGGAAUGGGAUCUUCUAAGAACUAUGCUAUAUUUCUACCACAAAGAGUUGGUACAUCCAUGUUUAGCCUAAUUCUUGAUUACUGCAGGUUUCAUCAAGUACCUGGUCGCUCUAAUAAGGAACGCAAGUCUUUUGAUGAGAAGUUUGUUCGAAUGGACACAAAGAGGCUUUGUGAGUUGACUUCUGCUGCUGAAAGCCUUCAGCUAAAGCCCUUGGUUGAUCUUACUAGUCGUGCACUUGCACGAAUCAUUGAAGGGAAAACCCCUGAGGAGAUACGUGAGAUAUUUCAUUUGCCUGAUGAUCUAACAGAGGAAGAGAAACUAGAGCCUUUGAAGAACACAACUGAUGAUCCACGGAUCCGACUUUUAAAUCGAUUGUAUGUGAAGAAGAGGAAAGAACUGAAAGAGAGAGAGAAACUAAAGAAUGUCGAGGCCGAAGAGGAGCACGUGGAUGACCGCUCAGUUGAUGACCUCGUAUCAUUCAUCAACGGAGGCGAUGGAGAUUCCAAAGGGAUGAAAACUUCCAAGAAUAGAAAGAAACACCAAAAAAGAAAAGAUCGGCAAAAGUGUGCCCCUGAAAUGCAUAAAAAGGAGUCUAAUGUUUUUAGUUUGUUAUGCCAUAAUGCCAAGCAUGAUCAUGAAUUACAGUCCAGCCUCAGAGAGACAUUAAAGUUACAAGAUGCGGCAGAUGUAAUUUUUUCUCCCACAGUGGAGUUUGAGGAUGUUGAUAUUGAUAGCGAGAUAGAUCCAGCUUUAAAAGAAGAAAUUGAUAGGGAGGUUGAAGAUUUUGCUCGGAUACUAAAUUCAGAUUGGCCUGAAAGGAUGCAGGAGCUUCUAUCUUUGGGUCAAGAGAGGAGACCAGCACAAUUAUCUAUUAAUGGCAAUGGCAAUUUGAAAAGAUAUGGAAGUAUCAUUAUUCCCCGAACCCUAAUCCAUCAGAGCCUCCAUGACCAUCAUGCUCCUCGAAGACUCCUUAAAUGAUUUGCAUGGAUGGAGAGGACCAGAUCCUGGGCAACAAUGAAUUCUGCAGUAUGGAUUCUCCCUCAGGCUGCCAGUGGUUGGAACAGUUUUGACCAGAUGCCAAUGCAGGUGGCUUAUGGCAAGAAAAAGGAUUGUAGUGUCAUUGAUGUGAAUUCAGAUAGGCACACAUACCCCUUCAAUGAUUUGGCAGGCAUUCCUCAGCUCAUUAUGGGUUUCGAAGCAGGUUUCAGAAUUGUGGUGUGCAUAGAGUGAUUUAGCCUUAUUAUUUUGUAUUUUUUUUGGGGUAAAAUUAAAGGAGUAGCAACCACAUGUGAUAAUUGAAGAUAUAAAAGAUAACUUUGUCUGGCAUGAUCAGAAUCAUUUAAUUUCAAUCUCCCUCGUAUCGAUUCAUAAAUGUAGAAUAGAGAGCCUUCAUGGGAGGACUACCCAGGUAAGAAGCAAUGAUUCCUUGUCGUUCAGAUUGCAAGAUUUGCAUCUUUUAUACUGCAUUGAGUUUACGCUUCAUCAAAUUGUACAACUAAGAGGGGAUAGGAUUAUAUGCUGGAAUAAGAUACUCCCAGUGUGGCCUGAUUACAAUGAGAUUACA